rnacentral:rRNA from 1 species
GUACACUCCUGCGGGAGGCAGCAGUGGGGAAUUUUGGACAAUGGGCGAAAGCCUGAUCCAGCAAUGCCGCGUGAGUGAAGAAGGCCUUCGGGUUGUAAAGCUCUUUUGUCAGGGAAGAAACGGUGAGAGCUAAUAUCUUUUGCUAAUGACGGUACCUGAAGAAUAAGCACCGGCUAACUACGUGCCAGCAGCCGCGGUAAUACGUAGGGUGCAAGCGUUAAUCGGAAUUACUGGGCGUAAAGCGUGCGCAGGCGGUUUUGUAAGUCUGAUGUGAAAUCCCCGGGCUCAACCUGGGAAUUGCAUUGGAGACUGCAAGGCUAGAAUCUGGCAGAGGGGGGUAGAAUUCCACGUGUAGCAGUGAAAUGCGUAGAUAUGUGGAGGAACACCGAUGGCGAAGGCAGCCCCCUGGGUCAAGAUUGGCGCUCAUGCACGAAAGCGUGGGGAGCAAACAGGAUUAGAAACCCGGGUAGUCCCAUG